rnacentral:misc_RNA from 1 species
UGGCUCUCGCAUCGAUGAAGAACGCAGCGAAAUGCGAUAAGUAAUGUGAAUUGCAGAAUUCAGUGAAUCAUCGAAUCUUUGAACGCACCUUGCGCCUUUUGGUAUUCCGAAAGGCACACCUGUUUGAGCGUCAUGAACUCUCAGCAACAAUAUUUUUAAUUGAGGUAUUGAAGCUGGAUGUUGAGCGCUGCUGUACUUGCGACAGCUCGCUUUAAAUAGAUCAGCCAACUCUGUACAACUCGGAUUGACUCGGCGUGAUAACAUCUUCGUCGAGGACGCUUUCAGCGGCCGAAUUGUAUAAGGGGAGCUUCUAACCCGCCUUUGCGCACCUUUAAACUAUUGUCCUCAAAUCAGGUGGGACUACCCGCUGA